rnacentral:rRNA from 1 species
UAACGCGUGGGAAUAUACCCUUUGGUACGGAAUAGCCUCUGGAAACGGAGAGUAAUACCGUAUGAGCCCUUCGGGGGAAAGAUUUAUCGCCAAAGGAUUAGCCCGCGUUAGAUUAGGUAGUUGGUGGGGUAAUGGCCUACCAAGCCUACGAUCUAUAGCUGGUUUUAGAGGAUGAUCAGCAACACUGGGACUGAGACACGGCCCAGACUCCUACGGGAGGCAGCAGUGGGGAAUCUUGGACAAUGGGGGCAACCCUGAUCCAGCCAUGCCGCGUGAGUGAUGAAGGCCUUAGGGUCGUAAAGCUCUUUCGCCUGUGAAGAUAAUGACGGUAGCAGGUAAAGAAACCCCGGCUAACUCCGUGCCAGCAGCCGCGGUAAUACGGAGGGGGUUAGCGUUGUUCGGAAUUACUGGGCGUAAAGCGCACGUAGGCGGACUGGAAAGUUGGGGGUGAAAUCCCGGGGCUCAACCCCGGAACUGCCUCCAAAACUAUCAGUCUAGAGUUCGAGAGAGGUGAGUGGAAUUCCAAGUGUAGAGGUGAAAUUCGUAGAUAUUUGGAGGAACACCAGUGGCGAAGGCGGCUCACUGGCUCGAUACUGACGCUGAGGUGCGAAGUGUGGGGAGCAAACAGGAUUAGAUACCCUGGUAGUCCACACCGUAACGAUGAAUGCCAGUCGUCGGGUAGCAUGCUAUUCGGUGACACACCUAACGAAUUAAGCAUUCCGCCUGGGGAGUACGGUCGCAAGA